rnacentral:rRNA from 1 species
CCUACGGGCGGCAGCAGUGAGGAAUAUUGGUCAAUGGACGAGAGUCUGAACCAGCCAAGUAGCGUGAAGGAUGACUGCCCUAUGGGUUGUAAACUUCUUUUAUAUGGGAAUAAAACGUUCCACGUGUGGGAUUUUGUAUGUACCAUAUGAAUAAGGAUCGGCUAACUCCGUGCCAGCAGCCGCGGUAAUACGGAGGAUCCGAGCAUUAUCCGGAUUUAUUGGGUUUAAAGGGAGCGUAGGUGGAUUGUUAAGUCAGUUGUGAAAGUUUGCGGCUCAACCGUAAAAUUGCAGUUGAAACUGGCAGUCUUGAGUACAGUAGAGGUGGGCGGAAUUCGUGGUGUAGCGGUGAAAUGCUUAGAUAUCACGAAGAACUCCGAUUGCGAAGGCAGUUCACUGGACUGCAACUGACACUGAGGCUCGAAAGUGUGGGUAUCAAACAGGAUUAGAUACCCCUGUAGUC